GAAUAGACCUGAUGGAAGUGAAAAUCCCUUUUGGGUAUUGGAUAUAUUGCUCUUACCAAAAUUCCCCCAAAAGGAUUGUAACAAACAGCAGGACUGGAC
rfam:Pedobacter ginsenosidimutans strain KACC 14530 contig08, whole genome shotgun sequence.